ACCCAAGCUAAAUAGAAUUGGUUGGAGAACCUAUCCAGUUACAAUUACAAUGCAAUACGGUCAUUCUCUAAUACAAUACUCUUAAUCACAUUGUUUGAGUGAUAGUUUGUAUCAUGUCUACUAUCCAAUGUGAUACUUCUCUAUAUGAUUCAAUUGAAUAUGAUUUGGAACAUACUUCCAAAGUCAUAUUCGUAUGCUUUGGGCAAAGACUCCUAAAUCAUAUCUUAGAGUAUUCUCAUUCCACCAUGGAAGGUUAGAGAUUCCUUGUUGUGCAUUCAUAUGCCUACAUGACUAGAUAGCUUGACCCCAACAAUGCCGUGGACACUCUCGAUGGAAUGCCUUUGACAUGAUCAAAGAUCAAGGACCUAACCAUUAGACAUCUAUGAUGCCUCAAGUCAAAGGACUACUUUGCAUAUUGCAACUUACGAGUUCUUACAUGACAUGUAUGUUCGAACUUUCUUUUGAUCGUUGUUCAGUGUACUCAAUUACUCUUUCAAGCACCUAUGUGUUUGUCUUAGUGUCCAACACUAAAUGACUAGAAACUAGUCAUACUCAUGCUUGAGUUGACAUAACACAUACUAACCUUAGCGGAUUGUCAAUGCCCAAUUGGCAAUCCUAUGGCUAGGAACGUUUUAGGAAUGAACAUAAGAGAAAGGUCUCGUUAAUCUAACUUAUUUAAAUCACUUCUCUCUUAGAUCAAAUACAUUCCUUGGAUUCCCUUAUUGCUUAAACACAUGAUACAAUAAAUAAUGAUUAACAAUAAGCUUUGCCCUUAAUGAUACAAUGUUGGUUAGCAAAAAUAAUGAUGAGAGAAUAACGCUUUAGUCAUUUACAACUCUUGUAAUUACCCAUCUAGUUUGGCCUCUAGAGAAUGAUGCCUCACAAUGAUAUGAUGUUGGCACCAUUGCACUUAGUUAAGUUAUUCCCACCAUGCUAGUUCGUGUAGGGGUUCAAGAAUAGCCUCACAAUGAUAUGAUGUCGGCCAUCCUCGUUGCCUACCUCACCACAUCAUGUAUGUACAUAUGGACUCCUCCUGAAUGUAAGCACAUAUAUUGAACUUCCCCAUGAUAGGGUGAAGCCGGUGUAGGAGUCACAAACGAUUGGAGCCCACCAUGGUGGAAGGCCUACGAAGAGAUGUUCAAAGCAUCUCUCGCUUAUCAACUUAAUAUUCGUUUUGUUGAGGGAGUUGUGUUGGGCUACAUCAAUUUUAUUUUAAUCUUAUUAAAAGAACUUGGGCCUAUCACAACCAUUGGUCCAAGUUAAUAUGAAUUAGUAGUAUAUAAUACUCCCACUAUUUCGAUGAAACAAGCGAGACUAUAUGGAACUACUAACGAAUGCAUUGCAUCCUCAUAUGGACUAUAUAGUCAUAUUAGGUCUUAGGAUGAUUAUGAACCGUUUGAUUUGAUCCAACACGAGCAUUGUGUUGGACCUUGGGUUUAAGGUAGAUAGUUGUUGAUUUUAGUUACGCGUUUAAUCUAAUUAAACCAUGAUUUCCUAUUGGGCGUUGGACCCAACUAUUCCAAUUUGCAUACAUAUAAACAAAAAGGAAUACAUGAAAUAAAGAGAAGGGCUUAUGCCCUUUCUUUUACAAAAAAUUAGAAGGACUUAUGUCCUUUUACAACAAAUUUGAACUAAUCAAAUUACAUUCAAAUCUAAACUACUUAACCCAAACAUUCACAAUGUAAAGUGGCCAAUCACAUAGCUCAAUUAUCGAGGCAUUUGGUUCAUAAUCACCCUUUUCUUAAUCAAUCAAAUUAACUAAGAAAACAACUUAAACAAUUGGUUUUCGGAUUCAUAGAAUUGAUUUAAAUGGAACUAAAUGAAAUGAAAAUCCAAUUCUCAUUAAAGAGACAAAACCAUUUUGUUCUCAUCAUCUUUUGGGCCGAAAAACAAUGACCACAACAAUUGGGCCAUAAUGUUAAAACAUAAACUUUUGGGGUCACUUUGUAAAAACACAAGAGUCCACAACUUCAUGUAAUUACUACUAGAACCCAAAAAUUUCAACAAUAGCAAAAACUUCAUUAAAGCAGCAAAACAAUUUGUCCUUCAGCGUUUUUGGGCUUUAACGAAAAAACGUAAACUUUUGGGCCAAAGUACAAAUACACAAAAGUAUCAAAACUUUAUGUAAUUGCAUAAAAGGCCCCAAAAGUACCCCCAUUAAGGGGUGGCCGGUUUUGGUAGUGAAAAAGGAGGGGGGAAAAGGUUUUGGUGAAAAAUUCAAAAUUUGAAAGUGUUUUGUGCAAGUGGAUAGGUAGGUGAGGAAAAGUUGAUUGGUAUAGGUUGUAAGAAAAUGUUUUGUCAAACAAUAAAGACAUAAAUCAUCCAUCACCAAUUAAUUAUAAACCAAAACUUUAUGAAAAACACCAAACAUUUUGAAUCAAAACUCCAAACCUUUUUGUUCUUGGUAAGAACAUCAAGAAUAUUGAAGAACACACAUGAAAACUCAUAAGAGCUCCAUGAAUGUUUUCACACAAUAAAACUCAAAUUUUCACUACACAAAAGAGGGUUAACAUCCUAGGGUACUUAGGGGGUUCCAAAAAUCACUUUAAAACUGUUUUAACAAGACAAACAUGAAUCCAAAAAUCCACCCUUUGGAUUUGGCCGAAUUUCCCAACAUACAUGGCACCAAAUUUUAGUUCCAAUAUUCAUGCUUAAAUGAACUACAUCUACAACAUUUGAGAUGCUAAAUUUUCAAGCAAAAUUUAUAUUCAAAAAUAAGAACAAAGCUUGUAACAUUUACAACAUUUAAAUAAAUCACAAACCAUGAAAAACACAAAACCCAAAAGGAUUCACCAUAAACUAGACCUAGGCUCUUGAUACCACUUGAAGGAAAAAUUUUGUCCUAACUAAGAACAUGUGAGAAUAUUUGAACACAUAUGCAAACUAUUAACACAUUAAAGUAGGCAUGCAU
rnacentral:lncRNA from 1 species